UGCCUUCUUGUCCUAUAAUUCAGAGAGCCGAGGUUAAACGCUUAGUAUUUAUUAUUUUUUAGUAGGUGAGAAGACUGAGGUGGUGAUGGUGGCGGCGGCGGUGGUAGUGAUAAAGAAGAUGAGUUCCUACCCGACUAACUGUUUCGCACAACUCCAUGUUAGGUACCGAACACUCAGGACUGUCCACUCAUUCAUGUGCUCGAUAUCGGGAUGGUCACCGGGACUUCGAUCAUUGGUCCUUUGAAUUUUUGUUUAAUUUAUGUUACCUUACGUGGCAGGGAGGCUGGGUGCGGCAAUAGUAUAUGGUACGCUGUGUAUGGUACUGAAUGCAAGAAUGCACACACACACACGUACAUUCGCUGAGGAUUUCAACUCGUCAAACAAUGGCGGAGGUUUGGUGGAGAGAAGAGCCAGGGGAAGCCAGCAGUAUUGUGCUGUCAAGAUGGAUAUAUUGACAAGAGGGCAACUUGCUGCUCACUCGUGUUCCCGUAAUUCGAUACACCAUGCAAUACUUCAUCGGAAAUCAUGUUCAGUGUUUGCUGCAGAGUAUCAACAAGGAAGUGUCAGGUGUGGUAGUUAUCGUUGCACACAUUGGGACGUUGGCACUCCUGACGCCUGACGAGUGCGGCCUGAGGGGAGCCAACUAGCAUCGUUUGCUAUAACACAUGCGUCUUUUUUUUCACGAGGCCCGCCACUCAUCAUAAAUAUGCUAUGUUUACUGGGACUCAGCCAUAUGAAAGAAGGGCAUGGUAUGUGGCUGGAAGCAAACCCACUAACACAGGUCUUAACUGGGAAAUAGAUGUUGGCGGGGGGAGACGGUACACGGAAGGAGGUGGGCAGCAGGGGGACCUACGCUGUUAGUCACGGCAGCAUUCAAACAAAGGAGUCAGAUGGUGUUGUGUGAUGGAAGUGUGUUUGUGCGUGUGCUCCUAUCGUGUUUCUCGCGUCCGGGGGUGUCUGGUGUGGUUUUCCUGUUUACGCCGAAGCUGUGGGAUCUGAAGGUGUUCCUGGAGGUCACCGCAGGACGGCCUCCGGAAGGCCGUCUGUGAGCGUCACGUGUGUUGGGGAGGACAAAGACUCAUCCCUCGGGGCGUCGGGAUCUUGCUAACCUGAACAAUGUCAAUCUUCCUUCACCUGCAGUGCGUCAACCCUCCCCGGGAAUAUCGAGGGUGUGGUCGUGGCGAGGCAGACGCGGCCUUCACCUGGCGCGUCACCUGAGCACCGCAGAGACACUUCAGUCGAUGCGUGGCUCCAUAACAACAUAAGAACAUCAGCUGCAAAAAGCCAGCACGGAUGAUUUGACUCCUGAUGGGGACUUUCAGCUCUCCGUGACUGAUGAAAGGUGAAUGCGGGACUUUUACUUGUAACAAGGGAAUGGAAUGAAGAGAAUAUACUGGAGGAAGAAAAUAAAGGAAGAAGACACUGUUCAAUUACUGCUCUUUGUAUGUUUUUGUUUAUCAAUUCUCAUUCAUCUGCACUCCUCUCGACGAGACGAGCAUCGCUAACUGUAAAGAGGGCUCACAGAUACCAAAGGGAUAUGUACUGGCCGUGCUUUCGUUGGCAGCACACAUAAAUGAAGGAAAAUAAUAAAACUGACUGAAUUUCUCAUAAGUACUGUAUCAUUAAUAAUAUUUGAAAAUUGUAAGAAAUGGCAAGCAAAGUAUGGAAAAAUCA